AUGAUGAUUUAGAUUAUAUUUUGUUUAUGGUUUUAACUGAAAAAUCAUGUAGAUAUUAUUCUAGGGCGGUCUGAUCAA